rnacentral:rRNA from 1 species
UAGGGAAUCUUCGGCAAUGGGGGGAACCCUGACCGAGCAACGCCGCGUGAGUGAAGAAGGUUUUCGGAUCGUAAAGCUCUGUUGUUAAGGAAGAACGAGUGUGAGAAUGGAAAGUUCAUACUGUGACGGUACUUAACCAGAAAGGGACGGCUAACUACGUGCCAGCAGCCGCGGUAAUACGUAGGUCCCGAGCGUUGUCCGGAUUUAUUGGGCGUAAAGCGAGCGCAGGCGGUUAGAUAAGUCUGAAGUUAAAGGCAGUGGCUCAACCAUUGUAGGCUUUGGAAACUGUUUAACUUGAGUGCAGAAGGGGAGAGUGGAAUUCCAUGUGUAGCGGUGAAAUGCGUAGAUAUAUGGGGGAACACCGGUGGCAAAAGCGGCUCUCUGGUCUGUAACUGACGCUGAGGCUCGAAAGCGUGGGGAGCGAACAGG